rnacentral:rRNA from 1 species
GUACGUGAGCUGGGUUUAGAACGUCGCGAGACAGUUCGGUCUCUAUCUACGGUGGGCGCAGGAAAUUUGAGAGGGUCUGACCUUAGUACGAGAGGACCGGGUUGGACGGACCUCUAGUGUACCAGUUAUCACGCCAGUGGUAUCGCUGGGUAGCUAAGUCCGGUCGGGAGAAACGCUGAAGGCAUCUAAGCGUGAAACCCUCCUCAAGAUGAGAUUUCCCUGGACUUCGGUCCCUAAAGACUCCUGGUAGACCACCAGGUUGAUAGGCUGGGUGUGUAAGCAUAGUGAUAUGUUUAGCUGACCAGUACUAAUUAGUCGUGAGGCUUGACCAUUCA